rnacentral:snoRNA from 1 species
UAACACCCCCACAGUAGGAUCAUUUCUAUAGUAUACGUCUCUCUUUGAGCUCUUCAAAUGAGCCACAGAAUCCAACUUGGUUGAUGAGGUAGUAACCUGCACACCCUAGAGUGAGAACCUUUUCUGUUUGAUUGUUGAUCUUCGGAUCCGGUCAUCUGAUAUUUUCCUUCUUUCUCCGGCAGCCCUUGUGGUUGCUAUCAAGUAGAAAGUCGGAGCGAUGAUCUCGAUCUACUGUAUGUGCUUCCUCGGAAGAGUCACUUUAGAUGGGCGUGUAUGGCUGUCUGACAAGU